UAUAGUGUUUUGCUUUGAUAAGAGAUUUUGACCAUGCUGACCAUUUAUUGCUUUUUACAGGCAUCUGAUUUCUCGGUAAUCAAGUAUGGAGGUGAGGAACUUUAACGAGAAGCUGGUUGAAUAAAAUUUCUACCUUAUUACUGAGGUAAACAAGGGCGUGUACUUGUGCUUCUUCUGAAACUUAAUGAAUGGCUGCCUCCACUGCUUGAGGUAAAAAAACUCUUAGUUGUUGCUUUAUAAAA